GACGAACGUUGGCGGCGUGCUUAAUACAUGCAAGUCAACUGAAGCAGUGGUAGCAAUAUCGCUGUGGAGGUGGCGCACGGGUGAGUAACACGUAGGUAAUCUGCCUUCAGGUCUGGCAUAACUCCGGGAAACCGGGGCUAAUAGCAGAUGAUGCAGCGGCUCGACAUCGAGACAGUUGUUAAAGCUAUGGCGCCUGAAGAUGAGCCUGCGUCUGAUUAGCUAGUUGGCGGGGUAACGGCCCACCAAGGCAACGAUCAGUAGCUGGUCUGAGAGGAUGAUCAGACACACUGGAACUGAGAAACGGUCCAGACUCCGACGGGAGGCAGCAGUAAGGAAUAUUGCUCAAUGGGAGAAAUCCUGAAGCAGCAACGCCGCGUGAGGGACGAAGGGCUUUUGCUUGUAAACCUCUGUAGUGAGAGAAAAAAAUCCCAAUCUUUGGGACAUGAUGGUAUCUCAAAAGUAAGCCCCGGCUAACUACGUG
rnacentral:rRNA from 1 species